rnacentral:rRNA from 1 species
UACGUAGGGUCCGAGCGUUGUCCGGAAUUAUUGGGCGUAAAGGGCUCGUAGGCGGUCCGUCACGUCGGGAGUGAAAACUCAGGGCUCAACCCUGAGCGUGCUUCCGAUACGGGCGGACUAGAGGUAUGCAGGGGAGAACGGAAUUCCUGGUGUAGCGGUGGAAUGCGCAGAUAUCAGGAGGAACACCGGUGGCGAAGGCGGUUCUCUGGGCAUUACCUGACGCUCAGGUGCGAAAGCUAGGGGAGCGAACAGG